rnacentral:rRNA from 1 species
AGCGAACGCUGGCGGCAGGCCUAACACAUGCAAGUCGAACGAACCCUUCGGGGUUAGUGGCGGACGGGUGAGUAACACGUGGGAACGUGCCUUUAGGUUCGGAAUAACUCAGGGAAACUUGUGCUAAUACCGAAUGUGCCCUUCGGGGGAAAGAUUUAUCGCCUUUAGAGCGGCCCGCGUCUGAUUAGCUCGUUGGUGAGGUAAUGGCUCACCAAGAUUACGAUCAGUAGCUGGUCUGAGAGGAUGACCAGCCACAUUGGGACUGAGACACGGCCCAAACUCCUACGGGAGGCAGCAGUGGGGAAUCUUGCGCAAUGGGCGAAAGCCUGACGCAGCCAUGCCGCGUGGAUGAUGAAGGUCUUAGGAUUGUAAAAUCCUUUCACCGGUGAAGAUAAUGACUGUAGCCGGAGAAGAAGCCCGGCUAACUUCGUGCCAGCCGCCGCGGUAAUAC